rnacentral:lncRNA from 1 species
AUGAAGGAGAAAGAAGGGCUAGAAUUUGAAGAUCAGCUAGACUAUAUGCACGCAGACCCUUGGCCCAUUUGCAAAUUCCCAUGUGAAGUCAUACAAGGUCCAUGGCCUUCUGGCAAGAUUCCUUACCACAUCCUUGGCAAUGUGCCACAUCACGACAGAAUUCUCAUAAAAGGAUGUUCCAUGCAACCAGAAAGAGCCAUGGAUAGGCUGGAUCUUCAAAACAGUGGCACCAAGGUUGAUCCCACAUGGCCGUCAGUGGAACCCAAGCACACCUUUCUCCCCAAUCCUGCCUCCCAGUCCUGCUGGACACACUUGUGUUAUCUGUGACCCACGGACCCAGUCUGAGUCACUGUGCCCCAUUAACAAAACCUGUGCCCCAUAAGAAGUGAGCAAGGCUCACGUUUUAAAGGAAUGUUCUCUCUGGACUGACUGCUAGCUGGAGUCCCUCACACUCACACCGAAUCCCCAUGGGACUACCUCAUAUUUACCACCAUGAUGCUUUCCAGAAAGCAGCGCAUAAAUCCACAAAACUGAUUAAACAAGAAAGGGCCACUUUUUCUCUGAGGAGCUUGCUGGUUAGAAAUAAGGGAGACUGGGAUUCCAGAGUCCAGGAAAGAACACUAAGUGGAGACCCCAGUGUUUUUUCUAAUGAAAACAAAUGUGCAUACGAACCUUCGUGAAGUAAAAUGUUCGCUCUCCAGGUACUACUUUGGUUGGAUUUUGCUGUUUUGUUAACUGGACUACUUUCAGCAUGAAGCUGAUACUGUGAAAAUCCCCUUCCCAGUGCGUCCUGGAGGCGUUCGGAUCCACAGGAAUUCUGAAGCUGUGGUGUUGUCACACAUCUAUUUAUGCAUUUAGGAUGUUCAAACGAUGCGUUAUUUAUAGAAAGCUAGUGGAUUUUUGAACAAAGAAAGUUCUAAUUAAAUCUUCACUUUUUGCCAUGCUGUAGCUGAUGGUCAACGGACACUCCUAUUUUAAUCACAUCUAUUUAUACCGGCUUCUGUUGUUUGUAUCUUCAUGUAACUGAACCCAGGCACUUGGCAGCCUGACUUAAUAAAAUAGAUUUGGAAAC